rnacentral:sRNA from 1 species
UUCUUUUACGUCAUUUACGAGAAUUUUCAAUUUUGUUUUAUCAAAAAUUUCUAAUUGAAUAUUUGAUGUUGCACAUAAACUGACCGUGAUACAUGUGCUUGUUCUGUAUAUAGAUUUGUUGAAAUAACACUAGAGUAUGCUACCAAUGUUACGGAUCACGGUCUCCAAGCAAUUGGUAAAGGAUGCAAAGAAUUAAAACAUCUUGAAAUACUAAACUGUCCUGUUAGUAAAACAGGUCUUAUAGAAGCAGGCGAGAGCUCUUCUUCCAUUAGAUAUCUUUACGCAUCAGGUAAUAAAGAUGGAAAGGAAGGAGGAGUGCAAUCUUUUGCACAAAAUAAUGAUAAUAUAUUUUCUUUUCAUUUGUUGUUAAGAUUCUCCGAGAUCUUCUCGAGAUCUUUUUUGGAAAUACGAUAAGAUAGGCUGAAUAAUUCUUAUUCUGAAAUUUUUUGGUAAUGCGAAACCUUUGUUUUAUAUGUUCAAGAAGAAAAGAAAUAUUAAGAAUU